CCACAAGUAUUGCUGGUUAUGUAUGCAGGUCUGGUGCUGAUGAUGUACCUCCUCCUCCUCCAACAGAUUCUUCGGAUGAGAACAUUUACAGAAUCAACAUCACCCUAGACUCCAGAUGAUGGGGCUGCCACCUAGAGUACCUCGUAGACUAGGAGGGGUAAGGCCCAGAGUAAAGAUCUUGGGUUGCCCAUGAUGACAUACUAGUCCCAUCUCUGCUUCUUGAGACCCUUACACUCCGCCCACUCGUUCACAGUAACCAGAGGUCUGAUUACAUGCACCUGUCACAUCCAAUCAGCACAGACUAUACAAACCACUCACCUCAGUUCACUGUUGUCUGGUCUCGGUGUGCCAACCUGAAUGCUACCCCACCACUUACUUGCAUGGACUUACCUUCUUCCGUCCGAUAUUCAUCUAGAUCCAACCUCAGAACCCAGUUCACCAAAACCAGAUCAUCCAAACCUGCAAAGAUCAGACUGUUAUUCACUGAAAUUCCUCAGCAUUGCUCUGUUGACCAAUCACUCACCUGCUAUUCACGUGUAUAUGUCAAAACCUGCAAUAAACCUUUUGUUUGGAU